UACGGAGGGUGCAAACGUUGCUCGGAAUCAUUGGGCGUAAAGGGCGCGUAGGCGGUGCCACAAGUCACCUGUGAAAUCUCCGGGCUUAACUCGGAGCCUGCAGGCGAAACUGUGGUGCUGGAGUGUGGGAGAGGUGCGUGGAAUUCCCGGUGUAGCGGUGAAAUGCGUAGAUAUCUGGAGGAACACCGGUGGCGAAGGCGGCAUCCUGGACCAACACUGACGCUGAUGAGCGAAAGCCAGGGGAGCAAACGGG
rnacentral:rRNA from 1 species